CCUGGCGGCAGUAGCGCGGUGGUCCCACCUGACCCCAUGCCGAACUCAGAAGUGAAACGCCGUAGCGCCGAUGGUAGUGUGGGGUCUCCCCAUGCGAGAGUA
rnacentral:rRNA from 2 species